rnacentral:rRNA from 1 species
UACGGAGGAUCCAAGCGUUAUCCGGAUUCAUUGGGCUUAAAGGGUGCGUAGGCGGAAUAGUAAGUCAGUGGUGAAAGCCUGUCGCUUAACGACAGAACUGCCAUUGAUACUGCUAAUCUUGAGUACAGUUGAAGUGGGCGGAAUGUGUAGUGUAGUGGUGAAAUACUUAGAUAUUACACAGAAUACCGAUUGCGAAGGCAGCUCACUAAACUGUAACUGACGCUGAGGCACGAAAGCGUGGGGAUCAAACAGG